GGUUUUUCCAAUGUUAUCUUCUAUAAUGUUUAUAGUUUCAGGUCUUAAGUUUAAGUCCUUAGCAAAACGCACCGGAUUCGCGCCCUCCCCGGAGUUCUGGCCAGGAGGCUCUGGCUGGAUUCCAGUUGUUACAGAGCUCGCUGGAGACUUCCUUCUCCCUGUGGCAUUUUCCCCGCUCCUCUGGCCGCCGAAGGAGUCCUGUGGUGCCGGGCAGGAAUGGGCUGCUUGGGGACCCAACGAGCUCCCAGAGCCUUUCCUGCUGCUUCCUCUACCCCUGUGUUUCGCUAGGCUCUCGAGAUGGACUCAGUUCCAGAUUGCCCAGCCUCACAUAUUCCUUCAUAGCAACACAAAGGGACUGAGACAAUAUAUAAGUUAACAUCUGCCAUGUAGUGGAGGUUCCAGAGAAAAAGUGAGAGAAGCUGAGUCUGCACCCUCAACAUGGAGGAAAUAAGCUCUCUUAGGACCAAGAACAGAGGACAGAGGAAGGACUCCAGCAUGAUGGGCACCAAGGGAUUUUGGUCCUUCUGAGAAAGAGGAGAGACAGGGUCUUCCUCUUUGCCUAAGCUGGAGCGCAUUGGUGUGAUCAUCGCUCACUGCUGCCUCAAACUCCUGGGCUCAUGCGACCCUCCCACCUCAGCCUCCUGACUAGUUGGGACUACAGAAUUGGUUCCUUCCAGUGAGUUCUUGGUCUCGCUGACUUCAAGAAUGAAGCCACAGACCUGUGCGAUGAGUGUUACAGCUCUUAAAGAUGGUGUGUCCAGAGUUUGUUCCUUCAGAUGUUCAGAUGUGUCCGGAGUUUCUUCCUUCUGGUGGGUUUGUCCUCUCGCUAACUUCCAAGAAUGAAGCCGUGGACGUUCACAGUCAAGAUCUAAGCAAACACACAAAUGUGAACAACAGGGAAAGAACCCAUUGACCUACCAAGACAGGCUGCCAACAGAAUUUUGAAGGCUUGCCAAGAUGCUUUUAUGGAGGUAGAGUGAAUGAGAUUCCGUAAGUGCAAAAUAAUCCUUUUAAGACUACCCAGAAAGUAAUAUAAGUGAACUAGUUAUAUAAGAUUCAGUGAGGACUACCAAAACAUUGGGAAGAAAUGUGGAUUUUAUCAUUCAAGGAAAUAUAAUUUUAUUGUAAGAUAUAAUCUUUGUUUUUGUAGUCAAAUAGAAACAUUCAUGCCUUAAUACAACGUUUGGUAAAAAGAACUGAAGAAGACACCAUAGAAGAUUUUAACAAACAAUGAACUCAUUAGCUAAAAGAUUUGUCAUGAAAUAAUGAUUGAUUUAGUUGUUUUCUAAAAUAUUUCUAGUGCCUAUUAGAUGUUGAAGGAGACUUUGAUCAUGAAGUGUGUUCUCUGAGGAGCUGCUAUUUUUAUUUUUAUAUUUGUUUGAAGUGAAUUGUCCUGCUAAUUCUUUAACAUAAAAUAUCUUCAAUUACAUGAUUCAACAUUUUAAAAAGUGAUUAAGACAGAAGAAUAUGUGCUGGGAUUUAUUUUUGGAUCUUUGAAGUAGCAAAGAGUAGCAGAACUCCUUAAUCCAUAGAGUGGUUAUUUUGCUGUAUGAUGACUCUUGUAUUUACUCCCUGAAUUACCCUUUCCACUAAAAAGUAUUAAUGAGACAUUAGUAGGCUAUAGAAAAAAAUACUUCUGAUCUACUUAGAAAUAUUCAUGAGGUUUUCUCCUGGUGGAUUCACAUCAAAUUUUAUUUUUUAAAACCCCAAGUAUUUUUAUUUGAUGAUUAAUAAGUAAGAUGGAGGCUGGUAGGUGGAAAUCGCCAGCAGGAAAAUAAAAUGCUUUGGCUAAGCCGACAACUGCUACUGUCCUCCUCUGUACAGACUCUCCUGCUGAAGACUCACGGAGGCUUAUUUCAAGUCUUCUUUAGUUCAUUACCUGCAUGUUCAAAUGGAGCUGGUACUGUGACUCACAGCUUUCUGUCCAAGAAUGCGAUUUGUACCUCUACAAAUCUUCUACACCUUCUUCAUCUAGUAAACACUUACUCUACAGGUCUCAUCUCAAAUCUAUUACUAUAUGCAACUAUAGUACAUAAGCAAGCCAUUUAAAAAUGUUAAAGGAAGAUAUGCAUUGAUAUGGGUUGGCUGUUUUCCCACCCAAAUCUCAUCUUGAAUCGUAGCUCCCAUAAUCCACACGUGUCAUGGGAGGGACCCAAUGGAAGGUAAUUAAAUAAUCGGGGUGGGUUUUUCCCAUGCUGCUCUCAUGAUAGUAAAUAAGUCUCAUGAAAUCUGAUGGUUUCAUAAUAUAAAGGGCAGUUCCCCUGCACAUGCUCUCUUGCCUGCCACCAUGUAAGAUGGGCCUUUGCUCCUCCUUUGCCUUCUGCCAUGAUUGUGAGGCCUCUCCAGCCAUGUGGAACUGUAAGUCCAUUAAAUCUCUUUUUCUUUAUAAAUUACCCAGUCUUGGAUAUCUCUUCAUAGGAGUGUGAAAAUGGACUAAUAGAUACAUAUAGGUACACAUACAUGUAUACAUAAAGCCAUUCCAAAAGACUUUGCUUCCUGAAGUUUGUAAAUGUAAACAAAUUUAUUGUACCAUCAUUUAGGUUACUACGUUGCUCACUAACAUAGAAACAAUAUCUAAAAUGGGUACUUAUAGGGUUAUUAAAAUAUAGUAUGAAUAUGGCUACUGGAAAAAAGUCAAAGAUAUAUUUUGAGGCCACUACUCUACGUCUCUUGAUGUUCUCUUGUACACAUUUGAUAUUGCACAAAAGCCAAAAGUUUGGACUCCUUUGAUUAAAGGCAAGGUCAAGUAAUCCUGCUGGUUCUACCUCUCCUCCCAUUUCUUAAAUGAAAGGAUGUAGUCAUAUAAGGUGCUGUUUAGUAAAAUGGUGCCGUGAAUUCAGCAUGAAAUGUCUGGGCAAGUGUUUUUCAAGUUGUCACAUAUAUACUAUAUUUAUCUUCCUCCUUUUCCCUCCUCAACCUCAGUCCCCAUCACCCAGUGUUUCAUAAGGUUUUACUUUCUGUAGCUUAUACUGUAAAACCAGGAGUUCCCUUCCUCCUCUCCCAAAUAUAACCUUUUCUAAUAAUAUUAAUUGCACUUUCCCUAACUAUACAUACCUCCCUGGAGAUUUUGAACUGUAAUUCUUUCUCUCCUCCAUUUUCCUUGAGCAUUUUUCAUCUAGUGGAAUAUUCGGUGGCAAAGCUCUCAUUCUGGAAGAAGUUUAGCCAUGUAAGCAUAGAAGAAAUAAGCCAACAAUGGUAAACAUAGUUAAUGCAUGUAGUUAAGUCUUCUAAACAUGUCACUUGAAUGAUGUCACAUUUUGCUUUUUCAAACUAGGAAUCAACAAAAUGGAGGAACAUUUGAGGUUUGUUAAGAAAUUUCCCUUCUUAGCCAUAGAACUAAGAUAUUUUUAAAUAAAGAAGAUCAUAGUGGGCCAUAAAUGAUGUGCCUUUCUAGGAUCCCAAAAUGUUUUAUUGAUUGAAUUAUAUAGAGAGAUUUAAUGGAACCGUGGUUGAAAAAUGCUUUUAAAGUCUUUGAUCACUGGGAUAUCAAUGGAACAAAUGGGUUAAAACAUUUUCAGAAUUUAAUCAUUUAUCUAGGUAACAGGGUUGGGGGUAAAUGGCGGGAGAGAAGGGGAGGGCCGGGGCAUUAAUGAAUAGUACUCCAUGUAAAAAGAAGAAUUGACUAGUAACAUCUGUACUAUUUAAAUUAACAGGCUGGCAUAUAUUGUUGUGCAGGUUUUGCAUUGCCCAAUUCUUGGGGGGGGCGGCAUUCACAUUUGUAGUCAUUAUGGGUUCCUCUAUUUAUAAUGCCAAUUUUCUAGCAGAUGUUGGUUUAUUGCCUUGAGAAACUGUUAGAUUCCUCUAAUUUUUGCAAAGAUGGCUUUGGGAAGUUGAAAGAUUACCUGAUUACUAUUAGAGAAUCCUGCUACCAAUACAUACUUGUCUUGUAUAAUUUGGGCAAAAUAUAAUAUUCCUGAAUCUUAGAUUCCUUGUUUGUAAAAUGUUUAAAAUAUAUCUAAAUGUAAGAAUUGUUGUAGCAUAUAUAUGUGAGUACAUGAAUGUGGCCGUCACAGCAGCUGUAAGUGGAAGAUAUUAUAAAUAUUGUUAAAACCUUCUGAUGUUUUAUUUUAAGCUGAUAGUUUUUCUUUAUGCUGACUUUACAGUGAGUUUUAAACAUACACUUGAGUUUAUCAUUUGUAUAUAACUACUGAUAGAAAUCUGAUGAAAAACACUAAUAGUAGUUUAUAAAAGAUUUUUUUCAAUAUGAACUUUUUGUUUCCAUUGUGAGAAAUUAAAUUUCAAAAUGUAAUUAUUAAAUGUAUGCCUGACUUUCAAAUGUUUUUCUAUAUCCAGCUAAUUAAAAAUAUUUAUAACGUAGUAGUAGUUAAAUGUCAUGUUCGCCUUAUUAGAAAGAAUGCCUUCAAAUCAGUAUUAUCAUGAUUACCAUUUAUUUAACAUCUUCAGUAUGCAGGGCAUUUAUAAAAUCUGUAGAAAUUAAUUUUCUCUAAAUGCAACAAGCUUUAUGACCAGCACUCACUGUCUAUAAAAGAUGACUUGCUUGGCAGAAGAGGAAACAGUUUCUUCAGACCUUCCAGCCACAGUCAGCCCUGGUGACAUUGCAUAUCAGCUUCUAAAGGGCCUCGCACAUUCCUUGGCUUGUGAUGUCCCUUCCCCAUCAUCAAAGACAGCAACGAAACUUCAGGCUACCAUACCUGCUUCAACUGUAGGAGAAUCUUAGUUCUGGAGAGUUGACCCUCCAGGCGAAGCAUUAGGCUUUGAUACAAUUUGUCUGGUACCGGCUGUAGAUCUGGUUUGGGCCCCAGACUAUCUUCCCUGUCCUCAAGAAUCAAAACCAACUUGGAAUGACUCCUGGCCCACUCAGCACCUUUCCGGAAGCCAGAAGAAUGAAGUGCCACACAUAUCAUCAGAGAGAAUUCCAAGGAAGAGGGAAUGGUCUAUAGUGUCUCAAGCCACAUUAAUCCUUCAAGAACAGUGUUAACUUUCUCAGGCUACUGGAACUCCACUUUUUGGAACUGUUAUAUUUACUGUUGGGGAGUGACUUUGGCACCAAGGAGAACUUGGCUCAAAUGAAUGGUUUUGGAUCACACAUCUUCAUGAUUUGGGAAUGAUAUGUGUGUUUAUUUUAUGAAAAAUGUUAGUAAUGAAGCAUUUAAAAUAUAUCAAAAGGAAAAUCUCCAAGAGUUGGUGAAUCAUGCUGUUGCCAAUAAUAGGCAUGUGACAUAACUGAACAUUUCAUCAUCUUCAGUAAAUAAUCAAGAUGGACACCUACACCGAAGGCAACGAUAGCUAAAACUGAGAAACAGCUAAGAUGGCAGCCACCCCUUACUCUGGGAGCUCCCUCAGAGAGGUGCAAUGCUGCUACCAGUGGCUUACUGGAGUUCCAAGUCAGCGGGUCCUGUGAAGUGUCACGGAAGUGGGGCCUGCAGAUCAUCACUGCUCAGCCUUCUGGAAUCAGCUGCUUUCCAAGGGACUUUCGCUCUUGUUGCCCAGGCUGGAGUGCAAUGGCAUGAUUUCGGCUCACUGCAACCUCCGCCUCCCAGUUAUUUUAUCAGUGGAAAUGCUUCAGAUCUUUCUAAAAUGGUGGUGCAGGUCUGCUGGAGUUUGCUGGAGGUCCACUCCAGACCCUGUUUGCCUGGGUAACACCAUCAGAAGCUGCAAAACAGCAAAGAUUGCUGCCUGUUCCUUCCUCUGGAAGAUUUGUCCCAGAGGGGCACCCGCCAGAUGCCAGCCAGACCUCUCCUGUAUGAGGUGUCUGUCAGCCCCUACUGGGAGAUGACUCCCAGUCAGGAUGCACGGGGGUCAGGUACCCACUGACGAGGCACUCUGUCUCUUAUCAGAGCUUGAACGCUGGGCCAGGAGAUCUGCUGCUCUCUUCAGAGUUGUCAGGAAGGGAUGUUUAAGUCUGCUGAAGCUGCACCCACCCACAGCUGCCCCUUCCCCCAGGUGCUCUGUCCCAGGGAGAUGGGGUUUUAUCUGUAAGUCCCUGACUGGGGCUGCUGCCUUUUUUUCAGAGAUGUCCUGCUCAGAGAUGAGGAAUCAUAAGCAAUUAGAUCUUUAAAAUGACUUUACAUUAGCCUACUUUCUUCCCAUAUGUACCAUAUAUAUGGUAUAAUCUGUAUGGGAAAGGAGGCAUUUCAAGGUUUAAAAGAAUAUAAAUUUUGGAUUUAAUGUUUUUGAUCUUAACAUAUUUGUGUCUCAACAGGGAAGACAAUUAGAAAUGUAACAAGAGGGUUCUAUUUGAUUCAUUUAAAAAAUGGAAAGUGGCACCCAGGGUGAGGCUGGCAUGUCAAACAAUUACUGAGAGCAAUGCCACCAUUUGCCUUUGUGUGUGUGUGUGUGUGUGUGUGUGAAUUAGGAUCUGUUUUUUAAUGGUCACUCUAUUUACAUAGUAACAUUCCUUGAAGCAAUAUAUGCAGAUUCAUUCUCGACAUAAGUUUUUUUGCUUUUGCUAAAAUAGUUUUUGCUUAAAAUUACUCCCUCUCUUUUCUGGCUACAACUACUUCCCAUCUUCUCCUUGAUUUUUUCAAUGACUUAGGAAAAGAUUAACAUGAUUUAAGUCCCGUUUCUCAUGACUGUAAUUACAAGACUAGUUUAGUUCCACUUUCUUGUAGACGAAUUCCUACAUUUUGCUGAUGUUUUGGCCCAUUCUUAUAAACUCCACUGUCUGGGGAGCAGGAAGCAUUCUGACAAAUUGUCUCUUUGGGAACAGAAGUAUAUUUUAUUGAGUCAAUUAUCUUGAUAAAUCACGUUAUAUUUGAGUUUUUGUAGUUUUGUGGAUAAACAUUUUUACUUGGAAUCCCUUUGUUGUUCACUGUGUUAGCACCCAUGAUUCAAACAAUCCUUGAUCUUGUCAUUAGUAGUAUAUGUAGAGAAGAAUUCACUGUAGGAAUUUAAGAAGUGACUUUUCAACACAGCUUCUCUAAUACAGUAUUUAAUAUCCCACACAUAAUUCAAAAUAAAAGUAAGAAAUAAAAGUCUAUUGGAAAGACUUAGCACAAAAUUCAGUGUAAGAUUCCAUGUAAGAAAUAUUGAUUAGAACAUAUUCUACGAGAGUCUAGAGAUGAGGUUUAUGUCUCAAAUGUUUGUUUUAAGCUUAUUAGAAAUACCAUCUAUUAGUAAAAAUUACUUCUUUGGAAUGAGAUGAGAAAAUUCUGAAUAUGGACUCAGAUGCCAAAAUAUGUUAAUAGCAUAAAAUACAGACAUGAACUGAGAAGGCGGUUUCACCAAAGACACAAGAGAAAUUAAAUCACAUACAUUUUACAAUGUAAACUAAAAUAGACUAUACAAAAAUACCUUGCUAACAGAGAAAUGGGUCAUCAGUCUGUUGUUGUUACUUUUUUUGUUGCUGUUUCUUAAUGGUUACUUAAUACCUACCUGUAGUGCAAUUAUAUGUUGUAGAAUUCUGUCACAAAAAAAAGGCCUAAACCAACGGGAUGACUUAAAAGAAAAAUAAACAUUUCAAAGAUUCAAGUAAUUUAUCAGGAAAUACUGAAAGUACAUCCUAUAAUUUUUUUUAAAACUUGAAAAUUGCACCUCACAUUUUGUCUGGAGAGUUAGGCAACAUCUGUAUUUUUCAACUUUGUCAGUUAUUCAGGACCUAUUACAGACCACACAACUUUGAGCUUUGAAAGAAAUCCACAGAUAUAUAAUUUAACUCAUUGUGUAGCUAAGGAAAUAGGACUGAAGAAAUUAAUGAUUUACUGGACAUCAAGUUACAUGUAAGCCGAUUUUUAACCUAGAUUUCCAAAUGUCCACUCCAAUGCUUUCACCACUAUUGCCUGGUAGGUAUCACAUAUUAUUAAGUUUGUUUUGUGUUUUAUGGAUUAUAUUUAGCAUAAUUCUGAGACUUAGAAGAGGUUCAAUAAAUGCUUAUUACAUGUAUAAAUGAAAAAUGGCCUGGAGGUAGCAUAAGUCAAUAUUCCAUUUUUCAUCAUAGCUUUCAUCAAACAAAUCUUAUAUUUAUUCCUGGAAUCUAUUGCACACCACAAAUCAAAUGUGCAUAGCAAAUAGAUUUUUUUUAAACCUAGCCCGGCCAAAUUGAUCUUGAACUUCUCCGUGCUUGUUCAACAAUUCUGGUGCAGAGUUUAAAAAACUUGUAGGUUUUAUUUUGAGGUUACAAGUUUCAGUCUGGGACUGAAAAGAUAUAAUAGUAAUCUGCAAAGUUCAAGGAUGUGUAAUUCUGGGAGCUCAGAAAGAAUUCAUAGCUCUUGUUCUCAGGAGCUCUGCAAACAAAGAUGCCAAAGGCAUAUCAGAUUGCCUUCUAAUACAGGGAGUAACAAGUAACAAUGACACAUUGAUUGCUUACUUAUGAAAAUUAUUUCCAUAAUGAUAUAAUAUUAGAAGACAAAUUCAGCUGCCUGACCUGCACAGGAGAUUGAAUUGAACGUAGGGUGUUAAAUCAGAGUGGAGUAGGGUUUGAAAAAACAGAAUAAAAGCAAUACCUAGGAAAACUACUGGGGUAGGGCAGAACAUGAGUUCUGAAAUAAGAAGAUCUGAACUUGAAAUGCUUCUUUACUGUGCAAUGUAGACAAUAUAAUCUGCUGAGCUCAAUUAGCUCAUGUAUAACCUGGAGUGAAGAUGCCUGUCUUGUACGGUUAUUGUAAGGAUAAAACAGGAUUCGGGGGAGAACCAGCCAGUGUAGGCAUUACCCAUUUUUGUGUUGUUUCAAAUAUAUUUUUUAUAUUUUAGAUACGUGUGUGUGCGUGUGUGUGUGUGUGUAUGUAUGUGUGUGUCUUCAUUGCUACAUUGAACAGUUUGACCCUAAGUAACUCACAAAUAGCAUUCUAGAGGUGCUUCAAAAAUACUAAGGAAGUCUAACCUUCUAGAUGUUAAAAUACAACUUUUAUACUGGUUCUACUUGCCUUCAAUGGAAAUUAUUGAAGAAAAAAUCAGCUGGGAAUGAGAAAAUAAUAAAACUGCUUUGAAAUGAUGAAGUAAAGAAAGUAGCUUGGAAAAAACAUGCCUGAAGGCAGGUCACAACUUGAAAUACAGUUACUAUGUUCCAUAAUGGGCAGAGUAAUAGAGUGUGUCUAAAGUACAACCAAAGUAGUCUAGUACACCACAAUAUCACAAUAUCCAGUAGUCCCCCCCACCUCUCUCUUUAAGCUCCCUCUGUCCUUUCUCUCUCUUUUCUGUCUUCUCUCUCUCUCUCUCCUCUCUCUCUGUACACUCUCUUUCUUCUCUCUGACUCCUCCCUCUCCUCUCUGACUCCUCUCUCUCCUUUCUCCUCCACCCUAUUCACAGGUUGGAUAACGUUUCUGAUUUAUUUGACAAAGGAUAUAGCUAUUCAGCUAGAAUGCAUGAGCCACUGAGAGCAAGUACGAAGCCAGUACACCUUGGCGGAGCUUCGUGAGGCCCAUCAGAUUCUCAGGUUGGAAUGCCAGGAAGUGUUGUUAGUGUUAGGAAGAUUCCAUGUGUAAGGCAGGAGCUCACUAGAUCUGAAGAGCUUAACAUAUGGCUGUACCAUAACUCUUUUUCAAUAGGGCUUACAAUGUUCUUUAGGGCAGCAUGUAGAUUUAAUAUUUCUAUUAAAGGGAAUGCUUGCAGACAUUAGGAGCCUCCAGGUUUUUAAGUCAACACAGCAUCAGGACCAUAUUGUUAUCCUGUGAAGAGCAAGGUGGCUGAUUUCUCUUCUUAUAUCCAGAUACAUUCUGGAUAAUCCAUUCCCCACAGUUACAGUCUGACUCUGGAUUUUGGAAUAUCUUUUUAUGAAAUGGAUAGGUCUGAUAAUGAAUUGGGUAAUUGGGUCUUAGGACUAGAAUCUUAAAUCCAUUCUCAAUUUUUAUGAAGUCACCAACCUUUUACACACAUGCUUUAAAAAAACCUGUCUACGAACAGAAACUCACUCCUGUGCUUAUCACCUGAUAGAAGAACAAAACUGAAUAUAAAACUCACAUAAUUUGUAUUGCUCAGUGUAUAACGCAUUAAAAACAAAUUUAUUUUUCUUUGAGGAAACUUUGUACUGCAUUCCCCUUUUUAAGAUCAUCAACUCGUUCCCCCUUUAAAUGCCUAAAUCAACACUAAUUAGAUUCGAGCAGCCAUUUCUUCAUGCUGGCCUUUUAUUUUUGUCCUCUUAUUUUUUCCCUUAACUCACCUAAAUCUUCCUCUCCUUUUUUAUCUUUUCUCCCUUCCUCCCUCCUUAUUGCACAUAAUUCAAAUAUCAAAAAUAUAAAGUUAUUUAAUGAAACAUUGCUUCCCCACUAGCUCUCUACUUUCUCAGUAUAUAUCUUGCCUCCUUCAUUACUCGGGUAAUCACUAUCACUUGUUUCUUUUUUCACUUAUAAAGAAUUUUUAUAUAAAUGCAAACCAAUAAAACAGGAAAUUUCAUUUCGUCUUUUAAAACUACAAGUAAUAACAUAUUAUACACGUUUUAUUCAACAACAGAUUGUAUUCAACCUUCUGCUGUUAAGAAGAGUUGCAAUAAAUAACCUCAUACAUGCAUCACUUCACACAUAUUAAUUAUAUCUCAAGAUAAUUCCUAGGUGUCACUUUGAUAAAUAUUACCAAAAUGCUCACCAAAGAUGCUGUACCAAUUUAUACUCUCAUCAGCCAUAGAUUAAAAUCUAUCCCAAAAUUCUUCCAGUUGAAUAUGUCAUGAACUUUUGGAUUUUUACCAAUCUGAAUGGGAAGAGGGAAACAUGUUUUUUCAGUGUUGUUUAAAUCUGUAUUUCUGUGUUGUGAAUAAGGUUAAAUAUCUUUUAAAAUAUUUUUAAAAAACUAUAUUUGCAUUCCUGUGAACUGUCUUUGCAUAUUCUUUGCCCACUUUUUUCUUUUGGGCUGUUGAUGAUUUUCUUAUCAAGUGGUAGGUCUUUAUAUGCCAGGAAGAUUAAGCUUUUGUGACAAAAAUUGGGAAUAUAUUUUUAAAUUUAGUUUGCCAUUUGCCUUUUUGACUACAUUGAUAAUGUUUAUUUUAUGUGUUGCCAUGCAAAAAUUUAAUUUUUAUGUAGUCAAAUGUAUUCAUUUUUUUCUCCCUACAGCCUCUGAAUAUUAUAUCAUAAUGAGAAAGUUUUUGUUUCUAAACUGAGGCUAUAAAUUAAUUCUUUCAUGUUUUCUUCUAUGAUUUUGUAUUCCAUAAUAAAUAUUUAACUUAUUUAAAUAUUUCUUCUAGGCCAGGUGCGGUGGCUCACACCUGUAAUCCCAGCACUUUGGGAGGCUGAGGCAGGUGGAUCACCUGAGGGCAGGAGUUUGAGACCAGCCUGACCAACAUGGUGAAACCCCGUCUCUACCAAAUACAAAAAGUCAGCCUGGUGUGGUGGCACAUGCCUGUAAUCCCAGCUACUUGGGAGGCUGAGGCAGGAGAAUCGCUUGAACCUGGUUGGGGAAGUUGUAGUGAGUCAAGAUUGUGCCAUUGCACUCCAGCCUGGGCAACAAGAGCUAAAAUCCGUCUCAAAAAAAAAUAAAAAUAAAUAAAUAAACAAAUGUUUCUUCUAGUAUAUAGUCCAUAUUCUGAGAUAGGCACCCAAUUUUAUUUUUUCUCAUUGGCUAUCUAGUUAUACCUACAUCUUGGUAUUAUUAAAAAGUCUAUCUUUUGGAGACUUCCGCUCCUGGGAAGAUGGAAUAGAGGUACAUUUCCCCCUUUCUCUCCCUAAGGAAAACUAAAAUUCUUGGACAUCAUUUGUAAAAUAAACAUGAGAAGACUCUGACAAGCAGAGACAAAGAUAUAAUAAUAAUGUCAUUGGAGCCCUGGAGUGAAGGAUAAAGAAGGCAUUGCUAAAUAAUUAAUUUAAGAAAUAAUGGCUGACAAUUUCUCAAAUUUGUCCAAAGCCAUAAACCUACAGAAUCAGGAAGCUGUGUGUAUUCCAAUUAGGGUAAAUCCCAAAAAACCACACCAAGACACAUGAUUAUCAAGCUUGUAAAAACUAAAAACGGGAAAAAAUCUUGAAAAGACCACAGUUACAUUAUCCCAUUGAGGGGAGACUUCUUAUCAGAAACCAUGAAGGCCAAAGGGGUGAUAUUUUGUUUCUCUCAGAAUUCUAUAACCAGCAAGCAUGUAAUUUGGGCUUUUAGAUAUAUUUAAGAUAUAUUUUAUCACAUUAAGAUGAGUCUACCUAAUACUGUAUUUUAAAAGAUUAUAUUCCAAGAGUGGAUUUUUAAUUGUCAAUCUUUGUGGAACACUUAGUUUAAUGUUGUGGUUCUCAAAGUUUUGGCUUCAGAACAACUUGUUUAUAACCUUAAAAAUUAUUGAGAACCCCAAAGGCUUUUGUUUAUUUAGUCUGUAUCUACCAAUAUCUUCUAUAUUAAAAAUUAGAACUGAGAUACUUAAAAAAUAUGUAUUAAUUUAUUUCGGAAUAAAGAUAAUAAACUCAUUACAUAUUAACAUAAAUUCAUAUAUUUAAAAGUACACUUUUCAAAGCAGAAAUGUCUCAUGAGAAGAUUGGCAUUGCUCUACAUUUGCUAAUCAUUUCAAUGUCUGACUUAAUAGAACACAGCUGGAGUCUCAUGUAUGUUUCUGCAUGCAAUCUGUUUUAGUAUAUUAUUUUGGUUGAAGUUUAUGUAGAAAAUCUGGUUUCACGCAGAUAUAUAGCUACAAAGUACAGAGUAUUUGAAUAGAUUUUUCAGAUAAUUGUAAAUAUCCUUCUUUGACAUGUCACUGAAACUCAACAUUAAAUAUUAAUAUUUAAAUAUUUUUAAGUAUUAACAUAUAUAUGGAAUAUUAAACCAUAUCAAUGAAAUUUUGGUAUUAUGUUACAUUAAAGUCCAUUGUCCAUUUUGUACUUCAAAUAGAUCUUUCCUCUCUUUGUGCUUUUGUGAAAUCACACUUUGGUCAUUUGAAAAAUACAGGUUCACUGACUUACACAGAGUUUCUAAAUAUUGACAUAUUUUAUUAAAUAACAUAAAGGAGGCUUUACUGACAUCAUCAAUGAUCUCAUCAGAAAAAUCUUCGCAUAUUGGAAAACUGAGAAGCUCAAAGUAGUAUAUAGAAUUUUUUCAAGAUUCUAAUUUCUGCUUAGUGUUUUUUCUUUAAGAGGCUCACUUGGUUCAUUUUUGAAAGUAUGUCUCCUAAAUAUGAGAAUCAGAUUAACCAUGGGCUGUCAAUUAUUCUUUCAAGUAAAGAUGGUGCUUCAUGAAAAGAAAAUCUGGUUCCACUUACAGCUGAAACAAUUGUCCAAGUACAUUUCCUUAGGAUAAUUAUCAUUCCUUGGUAUGUAGAAGUAUUCCAUGGACCUCCAUUUUGUUAUACAGAAUUUUGAAAAGACAUUCCUCAAGGACUGAAGUAUAAUAAGGUUAGGAUUUUUAAAAAUUUUUAAUUUUAGU
rnacentral:lncRNA from 1 species